UACGCCCGAUCUCGUCCGAUCUCAGAAGCUAAGCAGGGUCGGGCCUGGUUAGUACUUGGAUGGGAGACCGCCUGGGAAUACCAGGUGCUGUAAGCUU
rnacentral:rRNA from 1 species